GUUUUAAUAAUUUAAAUAAAAUAUUGGUCUUGUAAACCAAAAAUAAGGUUUCUUUUAAAACU
rnacentral:tRNA from 1 species